rnacentral:rRNA from 1 species
UGGGGGAUAUUGCACAAUGGGCGAAAGCCUGAUGCAGCGACGCCGCGUGGGGGAUGAAGGCCUUCGGGUUGUAAACUUCUUUUGCUCUGAACAAGGCGCACCAUGGGGUGUGUUGAGUGUAGGGGUUGAUUAGCGCCGGCUAACUACGUGCCAGCAGCCGCGGUAAUACGUAGGGCGCGAGCGUUGUCCGGAAUUAUUGGGCGUAAAGGGCUUGUAGGUGGCUGGUUGCGUCUGUCGUGAAAGCUCAUGGCUUAACUGUGGGUUUGCGGUGGGUACGGGCUGGCUUGAGUGCAGUAGGGUAGGCUGGAAUUCCUGGUGUAGCGGUGGAAUGCGCAGAUAUCAGGAGGAAUACCGGUGGCGAAGGCGGGUCUCUGGGCUGUUACUGACACUGAGGAGCGAAAGCAUGGGGAGCGAACAGG